GAAUACAUAGGGGUAAGAAGCGAACGCAGGGAACUGAAACAUCUAAGUACCUGCAGGAAAGGACAUCAACCGAGACUCCGCAAGUAGUGGCGAGCGAACGCGGACCAGGCCAGUGGCAAUGAUGAAUAAAGCGGAACGAUCUGGAAAGGUCGGCCAUAGAGGGUGAUAGCCCCUUACGCGUAGAACAGUCAUUGUCCUUGAGUAGGGCGGGACACGUGAAAUCCUGUCUGAACAUGGGGAGACCACUCUCCAAGCCUAAGUACUCGUGCAUGACCGAUAGCGAACAAGUACCGUGAGGGAAAGGUGAAAAGCACCCCGACGAGGGGAGUGAAAUAGAACCUGAAACCGGAUGCCUACAAACAGUCCGGAGCCGCAAGGGUGACGGCUACUUUGUAUAAUGGGUCAACGACUUAGUGUAACUAGCAAGCUA
rnacentral:rRNA from 2 species